UACGUAGGAUGCAAGCGUUAUCCGGAAUUAUUGGGCGUAAAGCGAACGUAGGCGGUUGCUUAAGUUUGGGGUUAAAGACCAAGGCUCAACCUUGGGAGUGCCCUGAAUACUGGGCAGCUGGAGGACGGCAGAGGAAAGUGGAAUUCCCAGUGUAGCGGUGAAAUGCGUAGAUAUUGGGAGGAACACCAGUGGCGAAAGCGACUUUCUGGGCCGUUCCUGACGCUGAGGUUCGAAAGCCAGGGGAGCAAACGGG
rnacentral:rRNA from 1 species